UUUUCCAACUCAACCAAAAAUUAGUUUCUCUCUUGGGUGAAAAAUAAUCACCAUGGCUGGCACAUGCAGAGAUUUACAAAUCGCUCAUCAAACUCUUCAACACUGUUCACCAGGACAAUACGGCAAUCCUCCAGGUCAUGUUUCCCAUGGAUGGUGGUAAGCCACCCCUUGUGAUCGGCAAUUCUUAUACAGAGGUUUGUUCUGGAGUUUCAAUACUUUCAUGGCUAGUUAAAAGAUUAUACGCUAAGAAACCAAUGAAGGCUCAAGAGAUAUAUUCUCUUUCCAUCAAAUACUGCAGGUCAAAAUUGAUGCAUUGCAGGGCAAGAACGUGUUGCUGCUCAUAUCUAGCCUUGAUUGCUUGGAUGAGAUUAAGGCUCUUGCUAAACUAUACGAUCAACUGGAAAAAAAUGGGAAGAUUCAAUAUAAAUUAGUGUGGGUUCCAGUUGCAGACCAGAUAUAUGAACAACAUUUUUCUUCCCUGAAAUCGCUGAUGCCUUGGUACUGCGUGCGACAUCCUUCAAUCAUCAGACCAGGGGUGAUUAGAUACUUCAGGGAGUUCUGGAAUUUCACAAAGCAAACCAUCCUGGUGCCACUGUAUCCAAAUGGACAAGUACAACCCAUUUAUACCCUUGACUUCGUGUGGGCAUCGGGCAUUUUGCCCGUCAUUGGCCUGCACCCAGAUGGAAACUGGAAAUUUCUAUGCGAGGACCAUGGCUUGAGCCUAG
rnacentral:misc_RNA from 1 species